rnacentral:rRNA from 1 species
ACGGAGGGUGCAAGCGUUAAUCGGAAUCACUGGGCGUAAAGCGCUCGUAGGCGGCUUGGUUAGUCAGAUGUGAAAGCCCUCGGCUUAACCGGGGAACUGCAUUUGAUACUGCCAGGCUUGAGUGUCGGAGAGGGUGGCGGAAUUCCAGGUGUAGGGGUGAAAUCCGUAGAUAUCUGGAGGAACACCAGUGGCGAAGGCGGCCACCUGGACGGCAACUGACGCUGAGGAGCGAAAGCGUGGGUAGCAAACAG